CUACGGGUCGCAGCAGGCGCGGAACCUUUACAAUGCACGCAAGUGUGAUAAGGGGACCCUAAGUGCUCAUACAUUGUAUGGGCUUUUGUCAAGAGUAAAUAUCUUGGAGAAUAAGUGGUGGGUAAGACUGGUGCCAGCCGCCGCGGUAACACCAGCGCCACGAGUGGCAACCGCGUUUAUUGGGCCUAAAGCGUCCGUAGCCGGUUAGGUAAAUUUCUUGUGAAAUCGUCAGGCUUAACCUGACGGCGUGCUUGAAACACUGCCUAACUCGAGACCGGGAGGAGUCAAAGGUAUUUCAGGGGGAGCGGUAAAAUGUGAUAAUCCCUGGAAGAUCACCUAUGGCGAAGGCAUUUGACCAGAACGGAUCUGACGGUGAGGGACGAAGGCCAGGGGAGCGAUCCGGAUUAGAUACCCGAGUAGUC
rnacentral:rRNA from 1 species